AAAAAAUAAAUUAAAUGAUAUGAAGUCAUUUUUUAAGGUGGUAGAGUUGAUUCAUGACCUACAAAUUACAUUAAGGAAGGUUAUUAUUAUACUAACAAUUGAUAAAUAAUUAAUUGAGGAUAGUAUUAAAACCUAAAGGGAAACCUAAAUAAUAAAGAUAGUGAAUUGAAACAUCUUAGUAGCUAUAAAAAAAAAUAACAAUGAUUUAUAAAGUAGUGGUGAACGAAAUAUAAAGAGUUCGAUGAGUAAUACAUAGAAAGUGUAUGAAUAUAACUGCAUAAACAGUUAAGACUAAAAAUUUAAUGUAAAUAACAUAAGUACUGUGAAGGAAAUAUGGAUAGUGGAUCAAUAUAGCUAAUAAUAUUCUAAUAUGAAUAUUAUGUACCUAUUGCAUAAUGGGUUGGUUAGUUAUUAGAUAUAGCAAAUCAAAUAUGAAGAUAUAUAUAACUAAAAAUAAUAAAGUUAUAUUUAAUAUACCCGAAACUAGAUGAUUUUUUCUUGACCAAGUAAUUCAUUAAAUUGAAUUGACUGAACGGUAAUUUGUAGCAAUAAAUUCCGAUGAGUUGAGAAAGGGAAGUGAAAGACAAAUCUGAUUUAGAUAUAGCUGGUUGUCGACGAAAUAUAUAUUAGUAUAGACCAUUUAAAUAUUUUUUAUUUUUAAUAAGAAAUAAGAUAUUACUAUAAUAUUACAGCAAUUUUUAUUGAUAAUAUCAUUAUAUAAUAAUGAUAAUAAUAUUGGGGAUCUUAUACGAUUUAUCAACAAUAAAUAACCUCGAAAUAAGAUAUGUAAUUCAUAAAUGGAUUCGGACUAUUUACUUUAAGGUAAUUAGUCAAUAGGGCAAUAACCCGAAUAAAUGAUAAAGUACCAAAAUAAUAUUAAGUGUUAUCAACAUAAAUAUGUAUUAAUACGUUUUAAUUACUGGGUUUGAUAGUAACUAUGUUUUAAUUAACGUGUAACAACGAAUUAAAUAAUAAAUGCAGUUUAUGAUAAAUUAUUAGUGCUCAAAAUAUUAUACUGAUUCAUUUAAUAUUUAUAUUUAUUUAAAUAAUAAAUAAUAAAUAAGAUAGUCGACUACAUAAUGAGAGAUAAAAUCUAUAGAAAUAAAAUAUUAAUGUUUAUAGAUAAUUGAAUUAUGUUAAAACUGCUAACAUGAGUAACGUAAAUUGGUAAUGUGUAACAUAAAACCAAUUCAUCUUAAAAGCGAGGUUUUAAUAGAAAAUACGGAUUCUAAGCAAAUAAUUUUGACAAAAAUUAGGCGAUGAAAAAAUAAAUUGUACAGUUAAAGUAAUAUAUUUAUAUAUAUUAUAUUAUACUCAAGAAAUAUAAUUUAUAAAGACCGUAAUUAUACCGACACAGGUGCUUAUAUAGAGAAUAUUAAGAUGAACGAGUGUAAUGAAUAUUAAGGAACUCGGCAAAAAAAAUGAUAGAUAAUUCAUAUAAAAACGAAGUUGUACAACUGUUUAACUAAAACACAGCACAUUGCAGAUAUUAAAUUAUUAGUAUAAUGUGUGAACUCUGCUCAAUGCUUAGAAAUAAAUGAAUUGAUUAAUUUUGUGAUUGAUUUUCAAUACUUUGCAAAUAGCAGCCUUAACGUGAGGGUUCUAAGGUAGCGAAAUUCCUAGGCUAAUAAUUGUAGUCCUGCAUGAAUGACGUAAUGAUACAACAACUGUCUCUAUAUUCAACUCGGUGAAAUUAAAUAUGUCGUGAAUAUUCGACAUGAAACAUGUAAUUAGACGAAAAGACUUAGGCAGCUUUACUAUAACAUAUUAUUGUUAAUAAUAAGAAUAUAUUAUACAUAUUCGGGAUAUAGAAGAUUAUAUAUAUAUUAAAUUAUAUAUAUAAUGUUAUUGAUAAUAUUAAUAUUAAUUGAUAUUAUUAAUAAUGUAUUUAUUAAUUAAUUUAUUAAUUAAUGAAUUAUAAUAUUUAUAUUUAUAUUAAUUUAUAAAUAUAUACUUAUUAUUGUAUUAAUAAUUAUAAAUAGCAAGUAAUUAAAUUAUGUAUAUAAUUAUAAUUUGGAAGAAUUACUUUAAUUAUUAAUAAAAACUUAUUUUACUAUAAUAAAUAUAUUUAUAUAUUUAUUAAUUUAAAGAUUUAAAUUAGGUAGAAGAACGUGAUAUGUGGUUAGUUUUACUGGGGCGGUAUUUUCAUAAAAACUAUCUGAAAAUUCCAUAAUGAUAAUUAUAUUAAUUAAAAUUAGUUAUAUUUAAUAUAUGAUCAAAUUAGUAAAGAAAACUAAAUUCAUUAAAUAAAGAUGAAUAGAAUCAAUAAUAGGAUAAUCAUAUAUGAUUUAAGUUUCAACAAAAAUUUAAAGGAUGAAAAUCUGGUAUAGUGAACAGAACAUUAUAUUGAAUUUAUAGAGUGUUCGAUUAAAGGAUAAAAGUUACGCCUUAGAUAACUGGUUAAUUUGGAUAAUAGUUCUAAUCGUAAUCCAAGCUUAACACCUCGAUGUCGGCUUACGUUAUCCUAGAAGUGAAGCAGCUUCUAAAGGUUAAACUGUUCGUAUAUUAAAAACGUACAUGAGCUGGGUUCAGUGCAUUGUGAGAUAGCACGGUUUCUAUCUUUUACAUGGUAAAUGUUUCUAUUUAAUUAGUUUACUUAGUACGACAGGAUUGGUAAACAAUUAUCACUGGUUAGUUAUUAAAUAUAUUUAUAUUAUAUAUAAAUAUAAUGUGAUUAAGCUACAUAAUUAAAUAAUAAAAAUUGAAAGAAUAUAAAAUUUGAAGUAUAAUUAGUUAGGCAUCAAAGUAUAUAUUGUAGAUUACAAUAUCGUAUAUAUAAAUAAUAAUGUUAUAUAUACUAUCAACUAGAAUAUAGUUAGAUUUAAUACGCACCUUAAUUAAUACAUAUCUUAAUUUACCCAAUAAUAUAGAAAAAAAAAAAUAUAUCUUAU
rnacentral:rRNA from 1 species